GUAGGUGGCAAGCGUUGUCCGGAAUUAUGGGGCGUAAAGCGCGCGCAGGCGGUUCUUUAAGUCUGAUGUGAAAGCCCACGGCUCAACCGUGGAGGGUCAUUGGAAACUGGAGAACUUGAGUACAGAAGAGGAAAGCGGAAUUCCACGUGUAGCGGUGAAAUGCGUAGAGAUGUGGAGGAACACCAGUGGCGAAGGCGGCUUCCUGGUCUGUAACUGACGCUGAGGCGCGAAAGCGUGGGGAGCAAACAGGGAUUAGAUACCCUGGUAGUCCACGCCGUAAACGAUGAGUGCUAAGUGUUAGGGGGUUUCCGCCCCCUUAGUGCUGCAGCUAACGCAUUAAGCACUCCGCCUGGGGAGUACGGCCGCAAGGCUG
rnacentral:rRNA from 1 species